UACAGAGGGUGCGAGCGUUAAUCGGAAUUACUGGGCGUAAAGCGCGCGUAGGCGGCUUCGCAAGUCGGGUGUGAAAUCCCCAAGCUCAACUUGGGAACUGCACUCGAGACUGCGUUGCUAGAGUAUGGGAGAGGGAAGUGGAAUUUCAGGUGUAGCGGUGAAAUGCGUAGAUAUCUGAAGGAACAUCAGUGGCGAAAGCGACUUCCUGGACCAAUACUGACGCUCAUGUGCGAAAGCGUGGGGAGCAAACAGG
rnacentral:rRNA from 1 species